ensembl:lncRNA
GGUCUCUUUAUGAGGGGAGAGGAGAGGGUGGCUGAGGGUCUCUUUCUGUGGAGGAGAGGGUGGCUGGUGGUCUAUGUGGGGAGAGGAGAGGGUGGCUGAGGGUCUCUUUAUGUGGGGAGAGGAGAGGGGAGGAGAGGGUGGCUGAUGGUCUCUUUAUGUGGGGAGAGGAGAGGGAGGGAGAGGGUGGCUGAUGGUCUCUUUAUGUGGGGAGGGGAGAGGGUGGCUGAUGGUCUCUUUCUGUGGGGAGGGAGAGAGGGUGGCUGAUGGUCUCUUUAUGUGGGGAGAGGAGAGGGUGGCUGAUGGUCUCUUUCUGUGGGGAGGGGAGAGGGUGGCUGAUGGUCUCCAUGUGGGGGGAGG